CUCCCUGGGGUCACAUGGCUAUGAUUUUCUCUUUACUGAGGGUAGGCAAGGUGUCCUCUUUUUUUGUUUUCCAAGAACUAAGGCAUAAUAGGUGGUUAAUAGAUGUUUUGAGGAAUGGAGUAAUGAAUACAUGAAUCCAUCUUCUCUCAGCUGUUCAGUUUGUGAGGAAUUUUCAAAUCCUUAAUUAAGAAUAGAUACAUCUAUAUAGAAGCAAGCUAGAAGUGUAAAACAAGCCUUCAAUAUCUAUUAUUUAGAGUUGAUUGUAUGUACUUAUGUGUUUAGGCUAACUCAGUACUAAAGCAUUUUUAGUUUUUACGUUGGAGUUCAGUCAUUUUUGGAAAAUACUUAUGUCAAAUUUCUUAAGUUUUACAUUCUAGACAUUACCAAAAUUCUGAAUCACAGAGUGGGUUAAACUAAGUAAGUGGCAUAUUGCAACUUCUAUUGUUUUACAAGAUCCGAUUCUGUCUCAAUAUGUGGCAUUUCAUCAUAGCACCUGGCCUCAGUGGAACUUUUCAACCCUAAAUGCUAAUCUGAUUUAAUUCUUCAGGGUAAAAAAAUUCAGAUUAGUCUCUAUCUAAACCUGAGUCAGAAAUACUGAAACUGGUGGGGCUUAGGGGAGGAGAAUGGGUCCCUCAGUGGUGGACCCAUAGAGGGUCCUUCUGGCUUCUCCUCUACCCUUAGCCAACGUAGGCACUGGGGCAGCAAGACCUCAAACGUCCCAGCAGCAUGUAUCCCACUGGCCUGCUCCUCCCGCUUCUGCUCCUCCUUCUAUUCCUUGUCUCUUCAUCUUCCUUCCUUUUCCUUCUUUCCUCUUUUCUCCAUUCACAGUCCUUACUCCCUCCUUCUUCCACUGAAGGUCUGUGUUGGUAGGCAUGGCAGCAUGGCAGGUUCUUUUUUUGGAAGGUCCAUGGUAACUGGGGCUGGCAGGGCUCAUCUAUCUACUAGCAGGGUGGCUGAGAAGGGCCACUCACUCAUCACAACUGUUAAAAAAAAAUAAGCAAAUACCUAACACUUUUUUUGUUUUUGUUUUUUGAGACAGAGUCUCACUGCACUCCAGCUUGGGAGACAAGGUAAGACCUUGACUCAGAGGAAAAAAAAAAAAAACUGAUUAUUUUGCUUAGUUUUUAUGGUAACUUGAUGACUUUAGCUUUUACAUUUUCUCUGGAAAUUCAAUUAGUUCUUCAGGUUCCUAAGAUUUUAAUUUUCCUCAAAGACAUGCAUUAAUAAUGCACUUGUUUUGUAAAAUAUUGAAUUUUAAUCUGUAUUUUUUGGUGAUCAAAAUUAGAAACAACUUAAAACUUGUGACUCUGAUAUUGCCAACACUUGCCCCACUUCCUGGCCAGCACUUCACUUCAGGAGCCCUCCUUCUCCAACUCCAACUGGUGGGCCCAAGAGAGUGGCCAUGAUCGUAUACAUCUACCCAGACCCCUCAAAGACAAGAUUACAGUUGAUUGGUCCAGAAGUAGGUACCUGACCCAAAAAAUGGCCAAUCAGAUUCCUUCCAAGAUCUUUUGACCUGAAUCCAAAGUAGAAAAUUGGUCUGUCUCUAGUGGUAGAAGAUACACAAUAAGAAACUCCCUGAUUUUUAAAGAGCACGUUCCCUGCCCAAAAAGGAACCUCAUCAGUCGUUAGAGAGUAUAAAAUGACUACAAACCUAACAUGGUGAGAAAUAGAAUGAAAGACACCCUCAGCAUCCAUGUCCCUAGUUCCAGUUGCUCUGAAGAUGCAGUCAAUAUCUUUACCCUUCCUGUGGCUUAGCUCUUCAACCCUUCCUUCCAAUACAUUCUCCUUCUUCUCUAAGCUACUUCAAGAUGGCUUUCUGUCACUUUCAACUAAAAGAAACAUAAUUAAUGCUAAUUCCUAAAUAAUAUAGAUUUUGAAAAACCUGAAAACUGCAAUUAAAAUGGAAACUGAAACUCCU
rnacentral:lncRNA from 10 species